UACGUAGGGUGCGAGCGUAAUCGGAAUUACUGGGCGUAAAGCGUGCGCAGGCGGUCUGUUAAGACCGAUGUGAAAUCCCCGGGCUUAACCUGGGAACUGCAUUGGUGACUGGCAGGCUUUGAGUGUGGCAGAGGGAGGUAGAAUUCCACGUGUAGCAGUGAAAUGCGUAGAGAUGUGGAGGAAUACCGAUGCGAAGGCAGCCUCCUGGGCCAACACUGACGCUCAUGCACGAAAGCGUGGGGAGCAAACAGG
rnacentral:rRNA from 1 species